rnacentral:siRNA from 1 species
GCUGAUGUGUCAAGUGGUGGGAG